rnacentral:rRNA from 1 species
GAUGAACGCUGGCGGCGUGCCUAAUACAUGCAAGUCGAGCGAACAGACGAGGAGCUUGCUCCUCUGACGUUAGCGGCGGACGGGUGAGUAACACGUGGAUAACCUACCUAUAAGACUGGGAUAACUUCGGGAAACCGGAGCUAAUACCGGAUAAUAUAUUGAACCGCAUGGUUCAAUAGUGAAAGACGGUUUUGCUGUCACUUAUAGAUGGAUCCGCGCCGCAUUAGCUAGUUGGUAAGGUAACGGCUUACCAAGGCAACGAUGCGUAGCCGACCUGAGAGGGUGAUCGGCCACACUGGAACUGAGACACGGUCCAGACUCCUACGGGAGGCAGCAGGAGGGAAUCUUCCGCAAUGGGCGAAAGCUUGACGGAGCAACGCCGCGUGAGUGAUGAAGGUCUUCGGAUCGUAAAACUCUGUUAUUAGGGAAGAACAAAUGUGUAAGUAACUAUGCACGUCUUGACGGUACCUAAUCAGAAAGCCACGGCUAACUACGUG